rnacentral:lncRNA from 1 species
UCCCGGGGUUACUUGCGCCCUCUAUAAAUGAAAGACGGUACCGCCAGUUCUGGGAAUCGCACAGGGGUGCGUACAAAUGGACCAGGACGCGGAGAGCACGGAAACAACGGUGCUGGGACCUUGUGCACAGAAUCCAGAUGCCAGAUGGGAAUUAAACAUUCGGCCGAGAAAAGCAAUCUAGUUCCCUGGGCUCGACUUUGACUCACUCCUUGGUCUGCACCAAUCCUCACAUCCCUCAGGUCCUCUAACUUUUACGACAGUAUCCAGAAAUCGAUUCUUUGGUCUCUACGGCUCCAGAAGGCUCGCUCAUCAAGAAACGUUCCAUUACCUUCGAUUAGAAGUGGAUACAUAUAUGAUUUUGGCCUAAAAAAAAAUUUGCAAAAAGGGAGAAUGCAAACUUGUCCUUUUCCUUUUGGAUUUACGGAGUGCCAGUAUCAGGUGUGGUUCCAGGUUCCCGUUCCAGGUUCCAGAUAAGGCUGUGGUGAGGUCUCGAGCAGACAAGCACAAGUCCAAUUGCCUCUUCUUUUGAAGCAGAGUCUAUUGAGGAGGAAUCUCUGAAAAUGACAGCUGAUGGGUGUAGAGACCCACGCCCGGAAUCUCAGCAACUGAAGUGGUUGAAGCAGGAGCAUCUGGGCAGAGCUUGUAAGCAUCUCUAGCUUCUGACUUUGUUGCUGGUGUUAUGGUUUUUGGUUUUCUUUCUCAGAGGCUUUCUGGUGCACCUAGACUGUGCCAGCUCCUUAUAGCCCUCCUUCAGCUCUCCAGCCUUUUGCCUAUGCAGUCUCUGCUCCUAGCCUUUCAUAACUAAUAAACUUUAAAAUUUAUAAACUCCAACAAAUGAAGGAACCAGGAAGCUGAGCGGCACCAUAGGUGUUGCUAACCAAGCAUAGCAGCAUAAUAAAAAUGGAGUGAUUAAAUGU